GCAUUUCAUCACUUUCUUUCUCUGACAAACUUUAAAUUUGACUUCUCGUGUUAUCAGUGUGGACACCACCCACCGGUAAUAAUAGCGGAUGCAAACUGGAAACUGGCUUUUGACAUACCACUUGGCACAUUUAAAAGACCAAAUCCUGAUGACAUUUCUGACAAGGAACUUGAAGUUGAUAUUGUUAAGGCGUGGUCCGAUUUAGACAAAUCAAUAAUCGCAGAUGCCCUCAUUUCAGGAACAACAGUUGCGAAUCCAUUCAGCACAUCAACUCAACACUCGACUUUGGCACCCUGGAUGGGACAGCACACCCGAGUUGGAAACGUUCUUCCAAAAACCGAAAUGAAAAAGGCAUUGAAAAAAAAACAGGACAACACCACACAUACAACGAGAGAGAUAAACGAAGACAUAAUUUUGGAACUCAUCGAAUCCAAAAAGCGUUCCAAGAAGGAUCUUCAAGAUGCUUGCCUUUCUCUGGUUGUGUCAUCUGAGGGGACAAUAGCAGAGCUCAUUAAUAGGCUCCAGGAACUGCUAUGUUUUAAAGAUGUCUAUCCUAAACUUUUCCUGAAGCUGCAGAAAGCUGGUGGUGGUGUCCUUCACCUCUCAUGUAUGCAUGGUGUCGUUUAUUACGUGAACUUCCUGUUCUGGAUGGAGUCUGCCAGAGAUCAUGCAGACGGUUUGCUGAGCUUUAAAAACCUCCCUACAUGCUACAUUUCAGAUGUAGCUGGCCAGGUCACAAGACACACCAACAACCGCACCAAACAGCUCUACUUCCAUCUCAUGAUGGCCGACUUUGUGCCCCAACGGCAGAAAACAUCAAAAAAGCAGAGCAAAAGGAAUUACAGAUUAACAUGGAGUGGGUCAAAAAAUUGAGAUGUCCUUUGCCAAUGCAUACAGACGACGGGAUCAACCAAUUUGUACGACAACAUCCAUUAACAGGGACAUGUGAGAGAUAUUCUCUGUAUG